rnacentral:rRNA from 1 species
GACGAACGCUGGCGGCGUGCUUAACACAUGCAAGUCGAACGGAAAGGCCUGCUUUCCCUUGUGGAUUGCGGGUACUCGAGUGGCGAACGGGUGAGUAACACGUGAGUGAUCUGCCCCCAACUUGGGUAUAAGCCUGGGAAACUGGGUCUAAUUCCCGAUAGGACUGCAGGGUGGUGCCUGUGGUGGAAAACGAUUUUCUAGUGGUUGGGGAUGAGCUCGCGGCCUAUCAGCUUGUUGGUGGGGUAAUGGCCUACCAAGGCGGCGACGGGUAGCCGGCCUGAGAGGGUGGACGGCCACAUUGGGACUGAGAUACGGCCCAGACUCCUACGGGAGGCAGCAGUGGGGAAUAUUGCACAAUGGGCGGAAGCCUGAUGCAGCGACGCCGCGUGGGGGAUGAUGGCCUUCGGGUUGUAAACUCCUUUCGACCGCGAGGAAGCCACCUGGUUGGAAGGGUGGUGACGGUAGUGGUAGAAGAAGCACCGGCUAACUACGUG